rnacentral:rRNA from 1 species
AGAGUUUGAUCCUGGCUCAGGACGAACGCUGGCGGCGCGCCUAACACAUGCAAGUCGAACGAGCGAGAGAGAGCUUGCUUUCUCGAGCGAGUGGCGAACGGGUGAGUAACGCGUGAGGAACCUGCCUCAAAGAGGGGGACAACAGUUGGAAACGACUGCUAAUACCGCAUAAGCCCACGGGUCGGCAUCGACCAGAGGGAAAAGGAGCAAUCCGCUUUGAGAUGGCCUCGCGUCCGAUUAGCUAGUUGGUGAGGUAACGGCCCACCAAGGCGACGAUCGGUAGCCGGACUGAGAGGUUGAACGGCCACAUUGGGACUGAGACACGGCCCAGACUCCUACGGGAGGCAGCAGUGGGGAAUAUUGCACAAUGGGGGAAACCCUGAUGCAGCGACGCCGCGUGGAGGAAGAAGGUCUUCGGAUUGUAAACUCCUGUUGUUGAGGAAGAUAAUGACGGUACUCAACAAGGAAGUGACGGCUAACUACGUGCCAGCAGCCGCGGUAAAACGUAGGUCACAAGCGUUGUCCGGAAUUACUGGGUGUAAAGGGAGCGCAGGCGGGAAGACAAGUUGGAAGUGAAAUCCAUGGGCUUAACCCAUGAACUGCUUUCAAAACUGUUUUUCUUGAGUAGUGCAGAGGUAGGCGGAAUUCCCGGUGUAGCGGUGGAAUGCGUAGAUAUCGGGAGGAACACCAGUGGCGAAGGCGGCCUACUGGGCACCAACUGACGCUGAGGCUCGAAAGUGUGGGUAGCAAACAGGAUUAGAUACCCUGGUAGUCCACACCGUAAACGAUGAUUACUAGGUGUUGGAGGAUUGACCCCUUCAGUGCCGCAGUUAACACAAUAAGUAAUCCACCUGGGGAGUACGACCGCAAGGUUGAAACUCAAAGGAAUUGACGGGGGCCCGCACAAGCAGUGGAGUAUGUGGUUUAAUUCGACGCAACGCGAAGAACCUUACCAAGUCUUGACAUCCGUUGACCGACAUAGAAAUAUGCUUUUCCUUCGGGACAGCGAGACAGGUGGUGCAUGGUUGUCGUCAGCUCGUGUCGUGAGAUGUUGGGUUAAGUCCCGCAACGAGCGCAACCCUUAUGGUCAGUUACUACGCAAGAGGACUCUGGCCAGACUGCCGGGGAUAACCCGGAGGAAGGUGGGGAUGACGUCAAAUCAUCAUGCCCCUUAUGAUUUGGGCUACACACGUGCUACAAUGGCAGUUACAAAGAGAAGCAAACCUGUGAAGGCGAGCAAACCUCAAAAAGGCUGUCUCAGUUCGGAUUGUAGUCUGCAACUCGACUACAUGAAGCUGGAAUCGCUAGUAAUCGCAGAUCAGCAUGCUGCGGUGAAUACGUUCCCGGGUCUUGUACACACCGCCCGUCACACCAUGGGAGUCGGUAACGCCCGAAGUCAGUGACCCAACCGCAAAGAGGGAGCUGCCGAAGGCAGGAUCGAUAACUGGGGUGAAGUCGUAACAAGGUA